AAAGGGAAGAAACAGAGAAGGGUUUGAAGCAGGAAUGCCAGCGAAAUGGACACAUGAACAGCAUACAAGGGGAAACUGUGGUCACCGUUUUCUAUCUCAGCUUCGUAAUUCUGACAUCAAGCAUCUUCACAUCUCUGGCACCUCCUUGAUCCCAGCUUCAGCACGAUCAAGAUCUACAAGUCUUGAAGGCUGCAUAUUCCUUUUUUUGCCAUCCCAAUGACUAACUGGAGAGUGGAGGAUUUAAUGAAGCCCAGCCCAUGGAGCAGAGACUUGCUGUCUGUUCACCAAAUGGUUCUCUGAGAAGAUGGGCGGCAGAACAUCCAACCCCAGAGCAAUCCUUGCUCACCUCACCACACGGCUCGGAAGCACCGACCACCAUGUUGGGCAGUACUGCAGGAAACAGCAGAGUACACUCCACUUUCCUAAACUAUACCACAUGCAAGCAAUGCCACGGUUAAUCGGAUCAGUCGAAGCUUAAACAUCACCUCACAGGAGUCCAGGUCCACAUGUGGCUUCUGACAACCGACGUGACUGAGCUGAGACCUUUGUCCCUCCACCAGCACUGCUCUGCCAAACGAACUUCCUUUUUCCUGUCAGGGACUUUACCAUGUUCAUCACAGCACAGGCCACAACUCCUGGCAUCUCCUUAUUCUGGCAGCUACAUCAACCGGUUCCUUCUUCCUGCUUUUUGCUUUUUCUAAUCAGCCUAGCUCCGGCCUUCAUUACCACCGAGUUAGGUGGGACACAAGCCACGUGUUAUUUAUGAAGGAGACAGCACAUGUCUCUCCCGGUCUACCAGCUAUCCAGCGGGAAUAUUUUGGGGCCUACGGGAGUGACAAAACCUGCCCCUCCACAGUGGCCGGGUGUCACCACGGCCACCCUGCCUGUCAUUCAAGCCACAGCGCCCAGCUUCCAUGUCACCCGCUGCUCCACGGUGCCGCCUCACCUGCGGCAGGCUCACACUCCGGAGGGGCAGCGGGGCAGCUCGCUACUGGGGUCACGGGCACCCACAUAUUAGCGACCUGCCCAGCGACGACGGGGCGGCCCCGGCAGCCCAGACCGGUGACAUUCCCCAGCAAUUUCCUCACUGUCCCUGCCGGGAAGGCCGCACUUGUCAUAGGGGCAGAAGGGCGCCAUCCCCACGGGAAGAGUGGCCGGAGGCCUGUCCGUGCGCCCAGGGCCGGGCCCCACGGCUGUGACGGCACC